AUGGAGAGGAUCCUGGGAGCUGUGCUGGGGCUGCUGUGGGUGCAGGUUUGCUGGGUGAGAGGGAUGCAGGUGGAACAGAGUCCUCCAGCCCUGAGUCUUCCGGAGGGAGCCGGCUCUGCUCUGAGAUGCAAUUUUUCUAAAACCAUGACAAAUGUGCAGUGGUUCCGACAGAAUCCCAGGGGCAGCCUCCUCAGGCUCUUCUUCAUGGCUCCAGGAACAAAGGAGAAUGGGAGGUUAAAGUCAACAUUCGAUUCCAAGGAGCGCUACAGCACCCUGUACAUCAGAGAUGCCCAGCUGUUGGACUCAGGCACCUACCUCUGUGCUGCUGAUGCACAGUGCUCCAGGCAAGUGUGCAGCCUGGCUCCAAACUGCAGCUGGGUGUGCAGCUACCGCCCUGCCACAGGGAGACUCAACAGGAGGCUUUGCACAGCUGUAGGGUUUCAAAUUUAUGCUGCAUCUCUGUCAUCUCUGCUAACACUAGAGAGUUCAGGAUUGCUGUUUCACAUCAUUAUACCCUCUCCUUACAGAUACCCAUUUUCAGAAAGAAAUUCUCAUGAGGAAUACUGGGACAACUGA